UACGUAGGGUGCAAGCGUUGUCCGGAAUUAUUGGGCGUAAAGAGCUCGUAGGCGGUGUGUCACGUCGGCCUGAAAACCUGCAGCUUAACUGUGGGCGUGCGGUCGAUACGGGCAUCACUGGAGUUCGGCAGGGGAGACUGGAAUUCUGGUGUAGCGGUGAAAUGCGCAGAUAUCAGGAGGAACACCGGUGGCGAAGGCGGGGUCUCUGGGGCCGAUACUGACGU
rnacentral:rRNA from 1 species